AAAGGAAUAGACGGGGGCCCGCACAAGCGGUGGAGCAUGUGGUUUAAUUCGAUGAUACGCGAGGAACCUUACCAGGGCUUAAAUGUAGUAUGACAGGCGCAGAGAUGUGCUUUUCUUCGGACAUAUUACAAGGUGCUGCAUGGUUGUCGUCAGCUCGUGCCGUGAGGUGUCAGGUUAAGUCCUAUAACGAGCGCAACCCCUGUUGUUAGUUGCCAGCGAUUCAAGUCGGGAACUCUAACAAGACUGCCGGUGCAAACCGCGAGGAAGGUGGGGAUGACGUCAAAUCAUCACGGCCCUUACGUCCUGGGCCACACACGUGCUACAAUGGCCGGUACAGCGAGCAGCCACCCCGCGAGGGGGAGCCAAUCUAUAAAUCCGGUCACAGUUCGGAUCGGAGUCUGCAACUCGACUCCGUGAAGUUGGAAUCGCUAGUAAUCGCAGAUCAGCCAUGCUGCGGUGAAUACGUUCCCGGGCCUUGUACACACCGCCCGU
rnacentral:rRNA from 1 species